UGGGUUAAGUCCCGCAACGAGCGCAACCCUUAUCCUUUGUUGCCAGCGGUCCGGCCGGGAACUCAAAGGAGACUGCCAGUGAUAAACUGGAGGAAGGUGGGGAUGACGUCAAGUCAUCAUGGCCCUUACGACCAGGGCUACACACGUGCUACAAUGGCGCAUACAAAGAGAAGCGACCUCGCGAGAGCAAGCGGACCUCAUAAAGUGCGUCGUAGUCCGGAUUGGAGUCUGCAACUCGACUCCAUGAAGUCGGAAUCGCUAGUAAUCGUGGAUCAGAAUGCCACGGUGAAUACGUUCCCGGGCCUUGUACACACCGCCCGUCACACCAUGGGAGUGGGUUGCAAAAGAAGUAGGUAGCUUAACCUUCGGGAGGGCGCUUACCACUUUGUGAUUCAUGACUGGGGUGAAGUCGUAACAAGGUAACCGUAGGGGAACCUGCGGUUGGAUCAC
rnacentral:rRNA from 1 species